UACGUAGGGGGCAAGCGUUGUCCGGAUUUAUUGGGCGUAAAGAGCGUGUAGGCGGCCGUACAGGUCAGCUGUGAAAACUCGAGGCUCAACCUCGAGACGUCGGUUGAAACCGUACGGCUAGAGUCCGGAAGAGGAGAGUGGAAUUCCCGGUGUAGCGGUGAAAUGCGCAGAUAUCGGGAAGAACACCCGUGGCGAAAGCGGCUCUCUGGGACGGUACUGACGCUGAGACGCGAAAGCGUGGGGAGCAAACAGG
rnacentral:rRNA from 1 species